rnacentral:rRNA from 1 species
CAGCAGCCGCGGGAAUACGGAGGGUGCAAGCGUUAAUCGGAAUUACUGGGCGUAAAGCGCACGCAGGCGGUCUGACAAGUCAGAUGUGAAAUCCCCGGGCUUAACCUGGGAACUGCAUUUGAAACUGUCAGGCUGGAGUCUUGUAGAGGGGGGUGGAAUUCCAGGUGUAGCGGUGAAAUGCGUAGAGAUCUGGAGGAAUACCGGUGGCGAAGGCGGCCCCCUGGACAAAGACUGACGCUCAGGUGCGAAAGCGUGGGGAGCAAACAGGAUUAGAGACCCCGGUAGUCCCUGUCUCUUAUAC